GCUCAGUGGUUCCCUGAGAACAAGCCACGCCACAGAGGGGAAACAAGACAGCUUCAUUUCCUCCCCCCCACCUUCCUGCUUCGUUGGAGCUGGGAAUCUGCUGUGCUGGAAGACUGUGAAAAUCCAGAGCAGAUACCACAACCAGGGUGGGCACCAUGGGUCGGCUGGAUGGGAAGAUCAUCCUGCUGUCUGCGGCAGCACAGGGCAUCGGGCGAGCAGCUGCCAUAGCCUUUGCUAAAGAAGGAGCCAAAGUCAUUGCUACAGAUAUCAAUGAGUCCAAGCUGAAAGAACUGGAGAAAUAUCCAGGUAAAUGCAGGCAUUAGUUCAGCUCUUCCAA